UACGUAGGGGCCUAGCGUUGUCCGGAAUUAUGGGGCGUAAAGAGCUCGUAGGCGGUUCGGCAAGUCGGAUGUGAAAUCUCCACGCUUAACGUGGAGGGGCCAUUCGAAACUGCUGUGACUCGAGUCCGGUAGGGGAGAGUGGAAUUCCCGGUGUAGCGGUGAAAUGCGCAGAUAUCGGGAGGAACACCGGUAGCGAAGGCGGCUCUCUGGGCCGGUACUGACGCUGAGGAGCGAAAGCGUGGGGAGCGAACAGG
rnacentral:rRNA from 1 species